AUUGAACGCUGGCGGCAGGCCUAACACAUGCAAGUCGAGCGGAUGAAGGGAGCUUGCUCCUGGAUUCAGCGGCGGACGGGUGAGUAAUGCCUAGGAAUCUGCCUGGUAGUGGGGGAUAACGUCCGGAAACGGGCGCUAAUACCGCAUACGUCCUGAGGGCGAAAGGGGGGGAUCUUCGGACCUCACGCUAUCAGAUGAGCCUAGGUCGGAUUAGCUAGUUGGUGGGGUAAAGGCCUACCAAGGCGACGAUCCGUAACUGGUCUGAGAGGAUGAUCAGUCACACUGGAACUGAGACACGGUCCAGACUCCUACGGGAGGCAGCAGUGGGGAAUAUUGGACAAUGGGCGAAAGCCUGAUCCAGCCAUGCCGCGUGUGUGAAGGAGGUCUUCGGAUUGUAAAGCACUUUAAGUUGGGAGGAAGGGCAGUAAGUUAAUACCUUGCUGUUUUGACGUUACCAACAGAAUAAGCACCGGCUAACUUCGUG
rnacentral:rRNA from 1 species